AUUGAACGCUGGCGGCAGGCCUAACACAUGCAAGUCGAACGGCAGCACAGAAGAGCUUGCUCUUUGGGUGGCGAGUGGCGGACGGGUGAGUAAUGUCUGGGAAACUGCCCGAUGGAGGGGGAUAACUACUGGAAACGGUAGCUAAUACCGCAUAACGUCGCAAGACCAAAGUGGGGGACCUUCGGGCCUCACACCAUCGGAUGUGCCCAGAUGGGAUUAGCUAGUAGGUGGGGUAAUGGCUCACCUAGGCGACGAUCCCUAGCUGGUCUGAGAGGAUGACCAGCAACACUGGAACGGAGACACGGUCCAGACUCCUACGGGAGGCAGCAGUGGGGAAUAUUGCACAAUGGGCGCAAGCCUGAUGCAGCCAUGCCGCGUGUAUGAAGAAGGCCUUCGGGUUGUAAAGUACUUUCAGCGGGGAGGAAGGCGGUGAGGUUAAUAACCUUGCCGAUUGACGUUACCCGCAGAAGAAGCACCGGCUAACUCCGUGCCAGCAGCCGCGGUAAAAC
rnacentral:rRNA from 1 species